GUAUAAUAAACCCGAAUUCUUCUAACAAGUUGGAAUGGCUUACGAGACCAACAAUGAGAUUAUCGUUGACCUCGGAGUCAAGCCAACUGGUUAGUGAGAUAUCCAUGUUUCAAGUAU
rnacentral:precursor_RNA from 14 species